UACGUAGGUGGCAAGCGUUGUCCGGAUUUACUGGGCGUAAAGGGUCUGUAGGUGGCCAACUAAGUCAGACGUGAAAUCCCUCAGCUUAACUGGGGAACUGCGUCUGAUACUGGUUGGCUUGAGUGCAGGAGAGGAAUGCGGAAUUCCAGGUGUAGCGGUGAAAUGCGUAGAUAUCUGGAGGAACACCGGUGGCGAAGGCGGCAUUCUGGACUGCAACUGACACUGAAAGACGAAAGCCAGGGGAGCAAACAGG
rnacentral:rRNA from 1 species